ACUAACUUACCCCAUUUUCUAUAUCAUGUUUAUCAUCAUGAUAGCAUCUUGUGUUUUCCAAGUCAAGUUCCUGAAUCAAGCCACGAAACUCUACAAUACGACAACAGUGGUGCCAGUUAAUCAUAUUUUCUUUACAAUCAGUGCCAUCAUUGCAGGUAUCAUAUUUUAUCAGGAAUUCCUUGGUGCUCCUUUUCUCACUGUAUUUAUAUAUCUUUUUGGGUGAGUAAAUGUCUCAGAGGUAAAGCAUGUGAAAUUCUAUUACUUUUACGUAGGAUUUUCGGCAUUGUACCGGAGGUAUAGAAAAUUGGAAAAUAAUAUAAGAAACAUCAGUUUCCUGAGCUCCUAAAAGAAACAUAUUUUUUAACUUAAGGCCCUAAACAGGGCUCAGCGUCUUUGGCUUUGUGACUUAGGUAUAUCUCUGCUGUUCUGAAACAUUGGGGAUUUCCAAUUCCAGGCCAAAGACAAGAUAC
rnacentral:lncRNA from 1 species